UGGGGAAUAUUGGACAAUGGGCGAAAGCCUGAUCCAGCCAUGCCGCGUGUGUGAAGAAGGUCUUCGGAUUGUAAAGCACUUUAAGUUGGGAGGAAGGGCAGUAAGCUAAUACCUUGCUGUUUUUGACGUUACCGACAGAAUAAGCACCGGCUAACUCUGUGCCGG
rnacentral:rRNA from 1 species